rnacentral:sRNA from 1 species
UAUUUGCGUGAGGGAUGGCAGUAGAAAUCCUUUUUAGUUUUAGGAUUGACUUCUAAUUACUAAAUAACAUUAAAACUAAAAAGAUUGGAACGAACAGCCCGACGUCCG